rnacentral:rRNA from 1 species
CAAUAGCGUAUAUUAAAGUUGUUGCAGUUAAAAAGCUCGUAGUUGAAAUUCGGCGUAUGCCUGCCUGCACAUCAUAAGAUACUUAGGUUUCUUAUGCUUGUCAGGCGUUUACUGUGAAAAAAUUAGGGUGCUCAGAGCAGGCUUUUGCCUGACUAAUCUAGCAUGGAAUAAUAAAAUAAGACGUUUUUCAUUUAUUGGUUCUUGAAAAACGGAAUGAUUAACAGAAACAGUUGGGGGCAUUUGUAUUUGAUAGUCAGAGGUGAAAUUCUUAGAUUUAUCAAAGACAAACUAAAGCGAAAGCAUUUGUCAAGAAUGUUUUCAUUAA